UCAGUAACACGUAGUCAACAUGCCCAGGGGACGUGGAUAACCUCGGGAAACUGAGGAUAAACCGCGAUAGGUCACUACUUCUGGAAUGGGUAAUGACCCAAACCUAUAUGGCCCCUGGAUUGGACUGCGGCCGAUCAGGCUGUUGGUGAGGUAAUGGCCCACCAAACCUGUAACCGGUACGGGCUCUGAGAGGAGGAGCCCGGAGAUGGGCACUGAGACAAGGGCCCAGGCCCUAUGGGGCGCAGCAGGCGCGAAACCUCUGCAAUAGGCGAAAGCUUGACAGGGUUACUCUGAGUGAUUUCCGUUAAGGAGAUCUUUUGGCACCUCUAAAAAUGGUGCAGAAUAAGGGGUGGGCAAGUCUGGUGCCAGC
rnacentral:rRNA from 1 species